rnacentral:rRNA from 1 species
CGCACAGAGCUGCAUGGCUCAGUGUGAAAAACUCCGGUGGUAUAAGAUGGACCCGCGUUGGAUUAGCUGGUUGGCGGGGUAACGGCCCACCAAGGCGACAAUCCAUAGCCGGCCUGAGAGGGUGAACGGCCACAUUGGGACUGAGACACGGCCCAGACUCCUACGGGGAGGCAGCAGGUGGGGAAUAUUGCACAAGUCGGGGGAAACCCUGAUGCAGCGACGCCGCGUGAAGGAAGAAGUAUCUCGGUAUGUAAACUUCUAUCAGCAGGGAAGAUAGUGACGGUACCUGACUAAGAAGCCCCGGCUAACUACGUGCCAGCAGCCGCGGUAAUACGUAGGGGGCAAGCGUUAUCCGGAUUUACUGGGUGUAAAGGGAGCGUAGACGGUGUGGCAAGUCUGAUGUGAAAGGCAUGGGCUCAACCUGUGGACUGCAUUGGAAACUGUCAUACUUGAGUGCCGGAGGGGUAAGCGGAAUUCCUAGUGUAGCGGUGAAAUGCGUAGAUAUUAGGAGGAACACCAGUG